GGGGUCGUGGCCAAGCCCGGUAUGGCGACUGACUCCAGAGGCAGACCGCCCGGUGACGAUACUCCAGACUGAUAUACCGAGCGAUCAACUGAUCAUUGAUCGCAGUGACGACCCUCUGGGGUACCGAGGCGCGAACCGGAGAUAUCAGUCGAUCGGGGGUUCAAAUCCCUCCGACCCCA
rnacentral:tRNA from 4 species